rnacentral:rRNA from 1 species
GGUGAACGCUGGCAGCGUGCUUAAGACAUGCAAGUCGAACGGUCAGAGCUUGCUCUGUCAGUGGCGCACGGGUGAGUAACGCGUAACUGACCUACCCCCAAGUCGCGGAUAACGCGCCGAAAGGCACGCUAAUACGUGAUGUGCACGCAGGUUUCUGGCCUGCUGUGUAAAGACUGGAUCGCUUGGGGAUGGGGUUGCGUUCCAUCAGCUAGAUGGUGGGGUAACGGCCCACCAUGGCGACGACGGAUCGCCGGCCUGAGAGGGUGGCCGGCCACCGGGGCACGGAGACACGGGUCCCACUCCUAGGGGAGGCAGCAGUUAGGAAUCUUCCACAAUGGGCGCGGGCCUGAUGGAGCGACGCCGCGUGGGGGAUGAAGGUUUUCGGAUCGUAAACCUCUGAAUCUGGGACGAAAGACGCGACGAGCGGGAUGACGGUACCAGAGUAAUAGCACCGGCUAACUCCGUGCCAGCCGCCGCGGUAACAC